rnacentral:rRNA from 1 species
GUGGGGAAUAUUGGACAAUGGGGGGAACCCUGAUCCAGCCAUGCCGCGUGUGUGAAGAAGGCCUUUUGGUUGUAAAGCACUUUAAGCGAGGAGGAGGCUACCGAGAUUAAUACUCUUGGAUAGUGGACGUUACUCGCAGAAUAAGCACCGGCUAACUCUGUGCCAGCAGCCGCGGUAAUACAGAGGGUGCAAGCGUUAAUCGGAUUUACUGGGCGUAAAGCGCGCGUAGGUGGCCAAUUAAGUCAAAUGUGAAAUCCCCGAGCGUAACUUGGGAAUUGCAUUCGAUACUGGUUGGCUAGAGUAUGGGAGAGGAUGGUAGAAUUCCAGGUGUAGCGGUGAAAUGCGUAGAGAUCUGGAGGAAUACCGAUGGCGAAGGCAGCCAUCUGGCCUAAUACUGACACUGAGGUGCGAAAGCAUGGGGAGCAAACAGGAUUAGAAACCCCGGUAGUCC